GGGGGGGGGGGGUGUCACCAUUAGCUCUUAUGUGUCUUCAUUGGUGAAUUUUCUAGGCUAGAAAAAAAAAAACAAUCCUAAUUGGAUGUUAAUUCCCGUCCUCUAAAUGACUUCUACUGUAUUGGAAAGAUCUUAGAAGACGAGGUAUUUGAUACACUUAAUUCUUUGUUCGAUUAAUUCAAUACAUUACACGUGGUGGCAGAAGAUAAAACUAAAUGUCAACAUUGACAUUGAUCCAGUGAUUGGUAUUAAACUACAGUCUCUUGGGACUUGUCGAAUC